rnacentral:tRNA from 1 species
GGGGGUGUAGUUCAAGUAGUAGAGUGCCUGCUUAGCAUGCAUAGGUCGUGGGUUCAAUCCCUACUACUUCCU